rnacentral:rRNA from 1 species
CAAAUGACUCUCGGCAAUGGAUAUCUCGGCUCUUGCAUCGAUGAAGAACGUA